ensembl:ncRNA T08G11.10 ncRNA
GUUUAUCAAAAAUCUUUAUUUUCUUACUUAAUCCGCAGCUUCUAUUUAUCGGGUUUUUGCUAUUAAAUGGUGAUGUUUCAUCGCUUCGUUACAUAUUAUUUUCUUCUCUAUUCUGAUUUGAAUAUAGAAUAGUUCUAUUUC